rnacentral:rRNA from 1 species
AGUCGAACGCGCAGCAUUCUGUAGCAAUACAGGGUGUGGGCGCGUGGCGAACGGGUGCGUAACACGUGGAUAACCUUCCUUCAGGUGGGGAAUAACCCAGUGAAAAUUGGGCUAAUACCGCAUAACAUGACGAUGCCACAUGGUGUUGUCUUCAAAGGCGCAAGUCGCCAGAAGAGGGAUCCGCGGCCGAUUAGCUAGUUGGCGAGGUAAUGGCUCACCAAGGCAAUGAUCGGUAGCCGGACUGAGAGGUUGGCCGGCCACACUGGAACUGAGACACGGUCCAGACUCCUACGGGAGGCAGCAGUGGGGAAUCUUGCACAAUGGACGAAAGUCUGAUGCAGCAACGCCGCGUGGGGGAUGAAGCUUUUCGGAGUGUAAACCCCUUUCGACCCGGAAGAAAGCCCGCAAGGGUUUGACGGUACGGGUAUAAGAAGCCCCGGCUAACUACGUGCCAGCAGCCGCGGUAAAACGUAGGGGGCCAGCGUUGCUCGGAAUUACUGGGCGUAAAGGGUCCGUAGGCGGUGUGGCAAGUCGGUAGUGAAAUCUCUGGGCUUAACCCAGAGGCUGCUGCCGAAACUGCCGUGCUAGAGUGUGAGAGAGGCGAGUGGAAUUACGGGUGUAGCGGUGAAAUGCGUAGAUAUCCGUAGGAACAUCCGAGGCGAAGGCGGCUCGCUGGAUCACAACUGACGCUGAGGGACGAAAGCUAGGGGAGCAAACAGGAUUAGAUACCCUGGUAGUCCUAGCCCUAAACCAUCAGGACUUGGGGUGUGCCCUGUACGGGGCACGUCCCGUAGCUNACGCGUUAAGUCCUGCGCCUGGGGAGUACGGUCGCAAGGCUGAAACUCAAAGAAAUUGACGGGGGCCCGCACA